rnacentral:tRNA from 1 species
GGUUGACGGCUUGGGGUAAGUGGUUCUGAAAACCGAUAGGGCAGCGAUGUCUUCGUGGGUUCGAAUCCCACACCCU